CCGAGUGAGGGCCUUCGGGCUCGACCUCCAACCCUUUGUGAACACCAACUUGUUGCUUCGGGGGCGACCCUGCCGUUUCGACGGCGAGCGCCCCCGGAGACCAUCAAACACUGCAUCUUUGCGUCGGAGUUUAAGUAAAUUAAACA
rnacentral:misc_RNA from 1 species